rnacentral:piRNA from 2 species
UUGUAACUGGACUGUUCAGGUUGC